GGGCAUGGGCGGCAGCUUACCAUGCAGUCGAGCGGUAACAGGGGUAGCUUGCGUACCCGCUGACGAGCGGCGGACGGGUGAGUAAUGCAUAGGAAACUGCCCAGUAGUGGGGGAUAGCCCGGGGAAACCCGGAUUAAUACCGCAUACGUCCUUCGGGAGAAAGCAGGGGAUCUUCGGACCUUGCGCUAUUGGAUGUGCCUAUGUCGGAUUAGCUGGUUGGUGAGGUAAUGGCUCACCAAGGCGACGAUCCGUAGCUGGUCUGAGAGGAUGAUCAGCCACAUCGGGACUGAGACACGGCCCGAACUCCUACGGGAGGCAGCAGUGGGGAAUAUUGGACAAUGGGGGCAACCCUGAUCCAGCCAUGCCGCGUGUGUGAAGAAGGCUUUCGGGUUGUAAAGCACUUUCAGUGAGGAGGAAAAGUUAGUCCUUAAUACGGGCUAGCCUUGACGUUACUCACAGAAGAAGCACCGGCUAACUCCGUGCCAGCAGCCGCGGUAAUACGGAGGGUGCAAGCGUUAAUCGGAAUUACUGGGCGUAAAGCGCGCGUAGGUGGUUUGAUAAGCGAGAUGUGAAAGCCCCGGGCUUAACCUGGGAACGGCAUUUCGAACUGUCAGGCUAGAGUGUGGUAGAGGGUAGUGGAAUUUCCUGUGUAGCGGUGAAAUGCGUAGAUAUAGGAAGGAACACCAGUGGCGAAGGCGGCUACCUGGACCAACACUGACACUGAGGUGCGAAAGCGUGGGGAGCAAACAGGAUUAGAUACC
rnacentral:rRNA from 1 species